UACAGUGAUCCUAGGAUUGAUGCUUC
rnacentral:piRNA from 1 species